CCUAAUCCCCAAUAUUUAGACCACCAGUUUUAAGUCUCCAUUUGCAGAAUUCCAUUGGACUGUCUAUCUCUGUAUCUCUCAUUUUCUCUCUCUAAAUUUAAUUUUGUACAGCUAAACCAUGAAUGGUGGCUCCUCCAAUUCGGCCGGUGGUGGUGGUGGUGGUGGUGGUGGUGAUGGAGCAUCCAAAUUGCUUGCUGACCUCCCCUCUCGCGGCCUCUUGUCCGCCAAUGUAGUUUCAUCAAACCUGGUACAUCUCAAUCCCCUAAAACCUAAUUGUAUUUUUUAAAUCUUUGACAUAUUUAAGGAUGUUGAUUCUAUUUUUUGGUUGGAUUUUGGAAUUGAAGACUUAAGGACAGUGCUUUUUUUAUGCGAAUGGGAAAUGAAUUUUGCUAAUCAAAUGGAGUUAUUUGGAAUUAACAUUUUUAGGCAAGAAAUGAUAAGAAUAAAUGGAAUUAUCUGAUGAUGUAGAAGGAUGGGAUUGAUAAGUGCUGUUUGCUUUGGAAGAUUAAGUUUUCAAUAAAGCCACGAGUUUAGGAAAAUUUUAACGGAACUCUUGACGUGGCAAAAUAUGAUAGGACUAUUUUUUUUCUUUUUUCUCAUCUUCCAAUGAUAUCUUGACAUAUGUUGUCUGCAAAUUUUUAUGUCAAAAUAUUCCGUGCCUGUAUCAG
rnacentral:lncRNA from 1 species